GAUGAACGCUGGCGGCGUGCCUAAUACAUGCAAGUCGAGCGAACAGACGAGGAGCUUGCUCCUCUGUCGUUAGCGGCGGACGGGUGAGUAACACGUGGAUAACCUACCUAUAAGACUGGGAUAACUUCGGGAAACCGGAUCUAAUACCGGAUAAUAUAUUGAACCGCAUGGUUCAAUAGUGAAAGACGGUUUUGCUGUCUCUUAUAGAUGGAUCCGCGCCGCAUUAGCUAGUUGGUAAGGUAACGGCCUACCAAGGCAACGAUGCGUAGCCGACCUGAGAGGGUGAUCGGCCACACUGGAACUGAGACACGGUCCAGACUCCUACGGGAGGCAGCAGUAGGGAAUCUUCCGCAAUGGGCGAAAGCCUGACGGAGCAACGCCGCGUGAGUGAUGAAGGUCUUCGGAUCGUAAAACUCUGUUAUUAGGGAAGAACAAAUGUGUAAGUAACUAUGCACGUCUUGACGGUACCUAAUCAGAAAGCCACGGCUAACUACGUG
rnacentral:rRNA from 1 species